CAGUCUAGUAUAAGCACUUUAUACUGUGAAACUGCGAAUGGCUCAUUAAAUCAGUUAUCGUUUAUUUGAUAGUACCUUACUACAUGGAUACCUGUGGUAAUUCUAGAGCUAAUACAUGCUAAAAACCUCGACUUCGGAAGGGGUGUAUUUAUUAGAUAAAAAACCAAUGCCCUUCGGGGCUCCUUGGUGAUUCAUAAUAACUUAACGAAUCGCAUGGCCUUGCGCCGGCGAUGGUUCAUUCAAAUUUCUGCCCUAUCAACUUUCGAUGGUAGGAUAGUGGCCUACCAUGGUGGCAACGGGUAACGGGGAAUGGGGCGGGGGCGG
rnacentral:rRNA from 1 species